CACGGGGGGAGCAAGCGUUGUUCGGAAUUACUGGGCGUAAAGCGUACGUAGGCGGAUCUGUAAGUAGGGGGUGAAAUCCCCAGGCUCAACCUGGGAACUGCCUUCUAGACUGCAAGUCUUGAGAUCAGGAGAGGCGAGUGGAAUUCCGAGUGUAGAGGUGAAAUUCGUAGAUAUUCGGAGGAACACCAGUGGCGAAGGCGACUCGCUGGACUGAUACUGACGCUGAGGUACGAAAGCGUGGGGAGCAAACAGG
rnacentral:rRNA from 1 species